AAGUGAAAUUUAAAAACCUCAUCAAAUCAAUUUAGUUAAUUAGUUAACAACACAUUUGACAUAAUUAAGACAAUAAAAGCUUUGCGAAUUUCAUCUUUCUCCCCUUUGCUCUGGUGUGAGUCCUUCUUUCCCACAACUUGGGCAACUCUUCAUCCCAAAUCCUUGACAUUCAAAACACCUAUAUAUAUAAUACAUGAAUAAAUUAACACAUAUGAUUAAUAUAUAUCAAUUCCAUUAAACACAUAUUUAACAUUGAAAAACAUACUUCCAUCGCUCAAAUAUGUUCCCAUUUUUCUUAUUCCUCCCCGUUCCCUACAAUAAAUUAUGAGAAAGCAUUUUUGAGACAAUUUAAGAUAUUUUCGGUCUAUUAAUUUCAACUUCGAGAUGAGAAAGUUAUUUGCUAUUAAAAAUGAAUAAUGAUAGUACGGGGUCCGACGCGCAGACCAUGGUACUAAAAGGCAUCCCUCGGAAAAUUUAGCACGUAGAGGAGGGGGAGUAUUGAUGAUACAAUAUCUCGAAUUUGGUCACAACGCACCAGUAACUAGAAAUUCGGAUAGCCCGAGAUGAAUUGAGGCACCCAUAUAGGUUGGGGGGUGUUCCAAGUCAACUCAUGGGAAGGUCGACUUUUACAGAAGUCGACUUUACCCAGGUCGACUACUUUCCCAGAGAUCAACUUUCUCAGAAGUCGAACUGGACAAAGUCGACUUGAAUAAAUUUGAUCCCUAAGAAAGUCGACUUGAAACCAGAUCUGGACAGUUAGGCGAUUACGCCGGCCCAAAUGACCAUAUUACCCUCGUAAAAGUCCUAUAAAUAGAUGGGGACUCUCAUUCAUUUGGGCAGGUUGAUUCCAGUAAUCGAGAGAAGUCCCAACGAAGCAAAGCCGGAGAAACUAAGGAGUUCGGGCUGAUUCCCUCGUUAGACGUUUGUUCGAAGUGUGAUCGGGUUCCACCCUCAUCAAAUAAUGAGGGUAGUUCAUGGAUCAUAAAUUAAGUGUAAGAUGAGAGAUAUUUCAUCAACUAUCUUACAAAUGUUAUCUCACCAGAAUCGUUUUCAAUUCCUCACAUAAAAAAAAAAGGAUAGAUAUACUAGAUUUGUGAUAUAAGCUAGAGUAGUCAGUAGAACCAUACAUUACAAGAAAACUGACCAAAAAGGAUAGAUA
rnacentral:lncRNA from 1 species